rnacentral:misc_RNA from 1 species
AUAAAAUCGUUUUAUGACUAGUAUCAAUCAAAGGACAAAAGAGUGUCUUAAUUCAAACUAUGUUACAUCAGUAAAUCCUAUCUAUAUGGCAAAAGCUUGAAUCGCCAAAAGCCAUUUUUAUGCAGGAAAAAAUUACAUCAUGUAUUUUGGCCUAGAAGAUUGUAUUUUGGCCCUUAUCUUGGAAGAGGAUGUGCAGGUGGCGGCAUAUUAGAUUUCGCAAAGCCAAUCCAUGCAACAAGUCCAACAGCAAGUAUUACCCAUCCAAAAACGUCAUACUUCAGAUCACUGCUCUUCUUCUUCGCACCCUUUGUACUUGAUGUUGUUGUAGAUGGUCCUGGUCCCAUGGCUUGUUGAAGGGGACCUUGUUUGUGAAUCUGGGCAUGCAACUCUGAAGUCUUAGAAGAAACUUCAAAUGAUUUCUGAUAAAGCUCGUUUUCUGGAUCCGCAUCAACAGCCUGCUGGAAGCACUGGGCUGCUUUGUCGAAAAAAAUCUUUGCUUCAUCUUCGUCGGGAUUUAGAAAGCCAUGGGAUGUAUAUGCAUUCCCCAAACACCAAAUGGCGUCAUGCUUCUGUGGAUUAACCUCCAAAGCCUCUUCUAACUUUGAGAUAGCAUCAGAUAUCAUUUUCUUUGAUUCGCUGACCGACUGGAAUUGUGAUAAUUCCAGUAAUGCACCUGCCCAUCUUGUCAAAUUCUCGGCAUCAAGAGGAUCUGUAGCAUAUGUAGUUUCGGCAGUCUUGCGAGCGUGCUCGAAAAAGAGGAGUCGGUCGAAAUCACUUUGCAUAUCCAUGAUGAACGGUAUCGAAACGGACGUUCCUUUGCACUUACUGCGAUAACUAGGGUUCUAAAUUUCAACUUGAAGCGGAU